rnacentral:lncRNA from 10 species
CACAAAAUGGAUGAAAACACUUGGAUUUGAAUUUUCAAUGGGAGCAAACAUAAAGCAAUACCAUCCUGUUAUCUAAUGUCAGGGCCUGCGACCUUGCUGUUCUCUCAUCUUGGUAUGAUGUUCCUUCACCUCUGCACAGAGCUGGCUCCUUUUCAUCCUUUGGUUCUAGAAUUUCCCUUAGAGAACUUCUGUGGCUCAUGGAUAAAGGAAGCUGAGUAAAUGGAUGGAGAGCAAUAUGGCAGAGGUCUUCACCGGCCUUGGUCUAACUUAUGUAUCUGGAGGAGAGAGAAAGAAGAGACAACAAUCAGCCACAUCUGCACAGAAACAGCUGUGUAAAUGGAUGUGUGGGAGAGCACUGCAGCCUUGUUUAUGCUUUUAAGACACAGUGAUUGCAUCGAAUCAUCAUUACAGUCCAGUCACUAUCCCAAAACUCUGAAUAAUAUGAUAUGUAAUUCUUCCUUCUUUACUGCUGACAGACAAUUAAAAGGCAUGAGCAAA